rnacentral:lncRNA from 1 species
AGGAACAAAUGAGCUCGUGCACGUGAGGGUUUAGCAACUGGAGCAGCAUCCUUGCUUCCUGCCCUUCUCGUUCUCAGGUCCCCUCCUUACAUCAGGGGACUCAUACCUCCCCUGGGAACCCAGGACAGAGGCAGAUGAGGCCACAUCAGCUCCUCCCUCUCAUGCCUGGGGCUGCUCCUGUCUUUUAGGGAAUUUCAGACCUUUUGUCAACUCCAGACUCUAGUAAUUGCUCAGUCCUUAAUAGCUACUUUGUUGGACUGAUUGAUUUCUCCCAACUCCCUGCCUAUUUUUCUUUCUUUCUUCUUCUUCUUCUUCUUCUUCUUCUUUUUUUUUUUUUUUUGCUUUUUGGGGCCGCAUCUGUGGCAUAUGGAAGUUCCCAGGCUAGGGGUCCAGGUGGCAGCUGCCAGCCUACACCACAGCCACAGCAAUGCCAGAUCCAAGCCGUAUCUGCUACCUAUGCCGCAGCUCACAGCAACACCAGACCGUGAACCCACUGAGCGAGGCCAGUCUCCAAAAAAAUGUGAUUGGUGCCUUGUGAUCUUCCCGGGGCAAAUUGGGGAAGAGCCUGAAGAGGAUCCAGAACGCCUUUGAGGACCCAUUUGAACAGAGGUUCACAAAGGAACAUUUUGACGGAUGGACAGUAGCAGCCAUGAGACUUGAAAUGUGAUCACUGGUACUUACUUCCUUGAGGUUCCUGCCACCAACAUCUGAAGAGUCCUGGGUGAUGGUCCAGGACAGGCCAGGUGGAGCUAAGAGGAGCCAUUGCAGCCUUACCCCUGCCAUGAGAGAGUCCAGCCAAGACCAGAAAACCCACCCAGCUACCCUAGCCCAAAUUGCUGACCCACAGAAUAAUGAAUGAAAUAAACAGUUGUUGAUUU